UCGAGAAUAGUCUACAAUGGCCGGAAGGCUGAUAGUGCGACGCCGCGUGAACGAGGGAGCCCUUCGGGGUGUAAAGUUCUUUUCUAUACGAGCAGUGCUAUAUAUAUGGAUAGUAUAUAUAGAGGGAUAGUAGUAUAGGAAUAAGCAACGGCUAACUCCGUGCCAGCAGCCGCGGUAACACGGGGGUUGCGAGCGUUGUCCGGAAUUACUAGGCGUAAAGGGCAGGUAGGCGGAUCUACGAGUUUUUUGUUAAAGGCUACGGCUCAACUGUAGUAGAGCAGGAGAUACUGUAGGUCUGGAAUGCGGUAGGGGAAGACAGAAUUCCUGGUGUAGCGGUGGAAUGCGCAGAGAUCAGGAGGAAUACCGAAGGCGAAGGCAGUCUUCUAGGCCGUAAUUGAC
rnacentral:rRNA from 1 species